rnacentral:rRNA from 1 species
CCUACGGGAGGCAGCAGUGGAGAAUCUUGCACAAUGGGGGAAACCCUGAUGCAGCAACGCCGCGUGAAGGAAGAAGGCCCUUGGGUCGUAAACUUCUUUUCUAAGGGAAGAUAAUGACGGUACCUUAGGAACAAGUCCCGGCUAACUACGUGCCAGCAGCCGCGGUAAUACGUAGGGGGCGAGCGUUAUCCGGAAUUAUUGGGCGUAAAGAGUACGUAGGUGGUUUCCUAAGCAUGGGGUUUAAGGCAAUGGCUCAACUGUUGUUCGCCCUAUGAACUGGGUUACUUGAGUGCUGGAGGGGAAAGCGGAAUUCCUAGUGUAGCGGAGAAAUGCGUAGAUAUUAGGAGGAACACCAGUGGCGAAGGCGGCUUUCUGGACAGUAACUGACACUGAGGUACGAAAGUGUGGGGAGCAAACAGGAUUAGAUACCCUUGUAGUC